AUGGAGGAUGUAGAAGAGAAGAAGAAGAAGGUUCCUGUUAUGCCAGAAACCCUUAAGAAAAAGGGAAGGAAUUUCUCAGAGCUGAAGAUCAAGUGCCUUUGAAAGAAGUUUGCCUAAAAGAUGCUUUGAAAGGCAAGGAGGAAGCUUAUCUAUGAAGAAGCAAAGCACUAUCACAGGGAAUAAAGGCAGAUGUACAGAACUGAAAUAUGAAUGGCGAGGAUGGCAAGAAAAGCUGGCAACUUCUAUGUACCUGAAGAACCCAAAUUGGCAUUUGUCAUCAGGAUCAGAGGUAUCAAUGGUGUGAGGCCAAAGGUCCGAAAGGUGUUGCAGCUUCUUCGCCUUCGUCAAAUCUUCAAUGGAACCUUUGUGAAACUCAACAAAGUUUCAAUUAACAUGCUGAGGGUUGUAGAGCCAUAUAUUGCAUGGGAGUACCCAAAUCUGAAGUCAGUAAAUGAACUAAUCUACAAGCGUGCUUAUGGCAAAAUCAGUAAGAAGCGAAUUGCUUUCUUUGACAGAUAACACUUCGAUUGCUCAAUCUCUUGGUAAAUAUGGCAUCGUCUGCAUGGAGGAUCUGAUUCAUGAGAUCUAUACUGUUGGAAAAUGCUUCAAAGAAGCAAAUAACUUCCUGUGGCCCUUCAAAUUAUCUUCUGCAUGAGGUGGAAAGAAGAAAAGGCCACCCACUUUGUAGAAGGUGGAGAUCCUGGCAACAGGGAGGACCAGAUCAACAGACUUAUUAAAAGAAUGAACUAA
rnacentral:lncRNA from 1 species